UCGAACGGUAACAGGAAGCAGCUUGCUGCUUUGCUGACGAGUGGCGGACGGGUGAGUAAUGUCUGGGAAACUGCCUGAUGGAGGGGGAUAACUACUGGAAACGGUAGCUAAUACCGCAUAACGUCGCAAGACCAAAGAGGGGGACCUUCGGGCCUCUUGCCAUCGGAUGUGCCCAGAUGGGAUUAGCUAGUAGGUGGGGUAACGGCUCACCUAGGCGACGAUCCCUAGCUGGUCUGAGAGGAUGACCAGCCACACUGGAACUGAGACACGGUCCAGACUCCUACGGGAGGCAGCAGUGGGGAAUAUUGCACAAUGGGCGCAAGCCUGAUGCAGCCAUGCCGCGUGUAUGAAGAAGGCCUUCGGGUUGUAAAGUACUUUCAGCGGGGAGGAAGGCGAUGAGGUUAAUAACCUUGUCGAUUGACGUUACCCGCAGAAGAAGCACCGGCUAACUCCGUGCCAGCA
rnacentral:rRNA from 1 species